rnacentral:lncRNA from 1 species
UCAAACAUUGCUUUGGGCAGGUGGAGGGGCCAGAUGUUGAUCUGCACUAUACCAGUGGAAUGUUGAUUAUGGUUGAGUCACUCCAAGCCAGAAUGGCAGGAACAGAGCAGGAACUGAAAGUAAACUUAAAGCAACGGAGAUAUGUCUAAAGCAAAGACGGAUAAAUGUGUCAGAUCAGGCUCUCACACUCAGAUUCAAAUGGUAUGGAUUGAACUAACGGCCAGCCAUUCAUGUAGUGAACUUUGUCCUCUUCCUUUAAUAUUCUGGGAAUUGGAAUAUGACCUGGAGGUGGUGAAGAGCAGAGCUGUCCUCUGACUUUCCAUGGCUGGAGAGCACCCAGGCAGAUUCCAAAUCAGCCUUUUUCUCUCUAGUCUAUUGGACUGUAUUCCUGAUUUAUAGAACUUAUUCUCUCCAAAGCCUGAAGGUAGUAUCCAAUUGUUCUUCUUUGUGACUCAGUU